rnacentral:rRNA from 1 species
UACGGAGGGUGCAAGCGUUGCUCGGAAUCACUGGGCGUAAAGCGACCGCAGGCGGCCUGACAAGUCGGAUGUGAAAGCCCUGGGCUCAACUCAGGAAUUGCAUUCGAAACUGGCAGGCUCGAGUACGGGAGAGGGAUGUGGAAUUCCAGGUGUAGCGGUGAAAUGCGUAGAUAUCUGGAGGAACACCGGUGGCGAAGGCGGCAUCCUGGACCGGUAGUGACGCUGAUGCGCGAAAGCCAGGGGAGACAAAGCGGGG